UAAUAAUUCAUUCUUUGAAACUUUUGAAAUUAGACGUUGUGUUACUAUAGUGACAGUACUCUAAAUUCUUUUAUCAGGCUGAUGAUCCUUUUGGGCAUCAUCAUGUUUUAUAAUUUAUUAUCAAAACCUUUUCUAAAAUUGACAAAAUACAUCGUCAUUUUGUGACAGAAGUGAUAUUUGGACAGAAAUUGAAUAAGUUGUUACGGCAGAAAACCGUGCCAUUAAAAUGCAAUGGAAUGUACUGUAUGUCACCCGGUGCCUAUUUUCGGUAUUACGCCUAAACAAAAUCUAAUGGGAACUUAAAAUUUUUGUGAUAACUUCAAAUUUGGAGCACAGCUGGGUUAAAUAUGUGGCUUUGGUUUUUAUAGUAAAAGAUAUUUUGUGAAAUAUAUAUUUUAUAUAAAAGAAAAAACAUUAAGUACAGUAUAUUUGAUUUACUGUAAAACUUAAACCUCAUACUGCAAUUUUUUGAAGCGCUUUCACUAAUAAUAUAAUCUGCUGAAUGUCUUGUUUAAAACAAGACCAAACUUGGGUCUAUAUUCCAAAGCCUUCUUGAAUUACAACCAUUUAAGUCUGAAUAGUGCAUUUUAAUGAGCAUUCUCAAAAAUGGGGGUGACCGUUAACAGGAUAAGGAUUAAUAGAUCUUUUUGGGAAUUGGCAUGCUUGAUUUGUUGCCUCAGAUUAAAUGAAGAGAAAUAACAAUAGUGAAUUGUAGGAAUAUCAUGGCUUUAGUAUUGCGAUAGCAUCUAGCUCCAGAUGUGGUCAAGAUAAACUGAGUUUCUUCACAGCUUGUAGAGAAUGGCUUUAUGUAGAAUCAAGUGUAACAGUUUCUUAAACAUACUGUUAAUUCCAUCAUGCCUCUGUCCUGUUUAGAUUGGGUUUAGAUGUCGAUAUAUGUAAUUUUAUUACCUUUUAUAUGAUUUGUUUUUGUCUAGAUAAUUCCAGAGAAACUCAAUAGGUAACAUCCCUCAUUUUUGUUGUAUAAAUUUUGACAUUCUUGAAUGUUUGCUAGUUGCACAUUGUGAGAGAUGGAUUAUGAUAAUUACAUUAUGACAUUCUUUGACAAUGUGCUCAUUGUGAAAAUCCGUCGAAAUGCUGGUCUUGUGGUUUAAAGAGUUGUGAAGUGUUUAGCUCUUUAUAGUCAAUGCCAUCACUCAUCACUGUCCCUCAGCAACAUCUCCACUGUCCUUAUCUCAUUCCGUGACAUGGCAGCCACUUUGGAUUGUCAGGAGAGGUGCCUCUUAUCUGCCGAGUUCAGAAGAUUUCCGUGAGAAUCCCUUAAGAAAUGCUUGAAAAGAAGCCUUGGAAUGGAGUCGAAAUCCCCGAGGAUUUAUCUGCCAGAGGUAUCCUGUAUCUGGGAGGCCUGGGGAGCACCCUUUGUGUCUGUUUUUCAGGUAUGUCUGUGUGAGACGGUGGAUUUAAAGAAUAAAGUGGAACAGAUGACGCGAUUCCCAUUCUGUCUUGUUGGUGAGAGCUUGGCAGGUGGAUGGGGGUCACUUAGCCUGGCUAUCACACAGACUGGAGCAAAGGUGAUGGGAGAACAAAUGGCCGAGUGAGCAGACUCUCUUUGGAAUCAGGUAUCAAGAGGAUAACCACCACCGUGUCAAAGGGAGCCACCGCUG